rnacentral:rRNA from 1 species
UGCAGUCGACGAUGAUCAGGAGCUUGCUCCUGUGAUUAGUGGCGAACGGGUGAGUAACACGUGAGUAACCUGCCCCUGACUCUGGGAUAAGCGUUGGAAACGACGUCUAAUACUGGAUAUGACUUCCGGCCGCAUGGUCUGGUUGUGGAAAGAUUUUUUGGUUGGGGAUGGACUCGCGGCCUAUCAGCUUGUUGGUGAGGUAAUGGCUCACCAAGGCGACGACGGGUAGCCGGCCUGAGAGGGUGACCGGCCACACUGGGACUGAGACACGGCCCAGACUCCUACGGGAGGCAGCAGUGGGGAAUAUUGCACAAUGGGCGAAAGCCUGAUGCAGCAACGCCGCGUGAGGGAUGACGGCCUUCGGGUUGUAAACCUCUUUUAGUAGGGAAGAAGCGAAAGUGACGGUACCUGCAGAAAAAGCACCGGCUAACUACGUGCCAGCAGCCGCGGUAAUACGUAGGGUGCAAGCGUUGUCCGGAAUUAUUGGGCGUAAAGAGCUCGUAGGCGGUUUGUCGCGUCUGCUGUGAAAUCCCGAGGCUCAACCUCGGGCUUGCAGUGGGUACGGGCAGACUAGAGUGCGGUAGGGGAGAUUGGAAUUCCUGGUGUAGCGGUGGAAUGCGCAGAUAUCAGGAGGAACACCGAUGGCGAAGGCAGAUCUCUGGGCCGUAACUGACGCUGAGGAGCGAAAGCAUGGGGAGCGAACAGGAUUAGAUACCCUGGUAGUCCAUGCCGUAAACGUUGGGCGCUAGAUGUAGGGACCUUUCCACGGUUUCUGUGUCGUAGCUAACGCAUUAAGCGCCCCCGCCUGGGGAGUACGGGCCGCAAGCUAAAACUCAA